rnacentral:lncRNA from 1 species
AUCAGCGCGGUCCCGGGAACCAAGUCUAUCACGAACUCGAUCUCCCGGUCCGGCGGUAUCGCCGGUAACUCCGCAGGAAAUACAUCCAGAAAUCCCCGAACCACAGAUAACUCCUCAAGUGCCGGAGCCACGCGGUCAACCUCCACAACGGUUGCCAAAUAAGCCGCGCAACCGCUGCUGACCAACUUCCUCGCUCUCGUCGCC